rnacentral:rRNA from 1 species
CUAGGCAAAAUGGUGCCGUAACUUCGGGAGAAGGCACGCUCCUGUUGGUGAAGUCCCUCGCGGAUGGAGCUGAGGGGAGUCGCAGAUACCAGCUGGCUGCAACUGUUUAAUAAAAACACAGCACUGUGCAAACACGAAAGUGGACGUAUACGGUGUGACGCCUGCCCGGUGCCGGAAGGUUAAUUGAUGGGGUUAUCCGUAAGGAGAAGCUCUUGAUCGAAGCCCCGGUAAACGGCGGCCGUAACUAUAACGGUCCUAAGGUAGCGAAAUUCCUUGUCGGGUAAGUUCCGACCUGCACGAAUGGCGUAAUGAUGGCCAGGCUGUCUCCACCCGAGACUCAGUGAAAUUGAACUCGCUGUGAAGAUGCAGUGUACCCGCGGCAAGACGGAAAGACCCCGUGAACCUUUACUAUAGCUUGACACUGAACCUUGAGCCUUGAUGUGUAGGAUAGGUGGGAGGCUUUGAAGUGUGGACGCCAGUCUGCAUGGAGCCAACCUUGAAAUACCACCCUUUAAUGUUUGAUGUUCUAACCUGGGCCCGUAAUCCGGGCCGGGGACAGUGUCUGGUGGGUAGUUUGACUGGGGCGGUCUCCUCCCAAAGAGUAACGGAGGAGCACGAAGGUUAGCUAAUCCUGGUCGGACAUCAGGAGGUUAGUGCAAAGGCAUAAGCUAGCUUGACUGCGAGAGUGACGGCUCGAGCAGGUGCGAAAGCAGGUCUUAGUGAUCCGGUGGUUCUGAAUGGAAGGGCCAUCGCUCAACGGAUAAAAGGUACUCCGGGGAUAACAGGCUGAUACCGCCCAAGAGUUCAUAUCGACGGCGGUGUUUGGCACCUCGAUGUCGGCUCAUCACAUCCUGGGGCUGAAGUAGGUCCCAAGGGUAUGGCUGUUCGCCAUUUAAAGUGGUACGCGAGCUGGGUUUAGAACGUCGUGAGACAGUUCGGUCCCUAUCUGCCGUGGGCGUUGGAAGAUUGAGGGGGGUUGCUCCUAGUACGAGAGGACCGGAGUGAACGCACCGCUGGUGUUCGGGUUGUCAUGCCAAUGGCACUGCCCGGUAGCUACGUGCGGAAGAGAUAACCGCUGAAAGCAUCUAAGCGGGAAACUUGCCCCGAGAUGAGUCUUCCCUGGGCCCUUGAGGCCCCUGAAGGGACGUUCGAGACGAGGACGUUGAUAGGCUGGGUGUGUAAGCGUAGCGAUACGUUGAGCUAACCAGUACUAAUGACCCGAGAGGCUUAACCUU